UCUGUGGGCAGAGCUGGGACCUAUUUCAGGAAGGAGGUUUAGUGAAAACUCUGAGUUUGUUAACCCUGAAAUGAGGGAAACUCAGAGUUUUCCGUUUCAGGAAGCGAGGUACCUCUAACCAGGGAAUGCGGAGUAACUCGAGCCUGUUUCACAAAGAGGGAUAACUUCAACUCUCGGUCAGUUACCGCAGUAACAGACUCUAUGACUCUAACCUGCUCGCCAGCAGGUUUAUCUGAGAAAACCUCGAGUUUCUCUCCGUCUCCGCCCUCUUUCAGCCACACACGAUGUUUCAUUUCCUCAUUCAUUCAGUCAGUAAGCGGGCGAGUUUUGGCGUAGAACAGCUUUUAUUAACGAUCCAGUGGAUAAAGGAGCAGCAUUACUGCACAGAUAAUUAAAUAUUCGUCGGUAGAUUGUUAUCAGACCGAGCAUAAAUGUUCUCGCAUUUCCGGACAAUUAUCGGUUUGAGCGGUACCGUUUCAUAAUCGUUUCAAGUCCAUAAUCUACAUAAACAACCUAAUCCAUCCUUACAUUUACAUUACCAGCCGCAGUCAUGCUCUCACAUCCAGCAGAUAUUGUGUGUUGCGCUGCGGUUCUUUUCAAAUGAAAGUUUUUAUAUGAUGUCGGAGAUGCAGAGUACUACAGUAAGACAAUUGUAUGCAGGACAGUCAGAAAAGUUUUCUGUGUGAUUGGCUGCAUAGAUGCACAUACUUCCCCAUCACAGUUCCCUCGCAUCAUGAAUAGGAAGUCCAUUCACAGCAUAAAUGUGCAGGUAGGCUACAGGUAGACUGACUACUGUUUCUAAAUGUUAAAGACUGCAUCAUAGUUCAACAUCUGUCAUUCUCUGCACUGUCCAGAUCAUAUGUGAUGCUGCACACAUCAUUCUAAUGUGGAGGCCAAGUGGUCUGGGUCUGUUCAUGACUCCAGGAUUUAUGGAGAGUCUAACCUGAGCAACAGACUGCAGCGUGGAGAGUUUGAUGGCCUUCUGCUGGGUGACAGGGGUUACCAUGCCAACCCAGGCUGAUGACCUCAUACCCUGACCCUGAACCAGGCCCCCAACAGAACUUCAACCGGGCUCACUGCAGGACCAGAGCCCGGGUGGAGAUGACCAUAGGCCUGCUGAAAGCCCGUUUCCAGAGCCUACGUCUCCUCAGGGUGACCCCUGAGAGGACCUGUGAUAUUACUGUCGCAUGUGUUGUUCUUCAUAAUAUUACCACUAUUAGAGGAGAGCAACACCCUGCCCUACAAACUGAAGACCCAGAUGAUGAGCCCAUCCACCUGCAGCUAUCCAGGACAGCAGAGCAGUCAGAGACACCGUAUGCAAUAAUCACUUUAGAGUUUAAGUCACCAUCAUCACCACCACAGCAAAUAAAGACAUGAUACACAUUUCA